rnacentral:rRNA from 1 species
ACGGAGGGUGCGAGCGUUAAUCGGAAUUACUGGGCGUAAAGCGCGCGUAGGCGGUUUGUUAAGUCAGCUGUGAAAGCCCCGGGCUCAACCUGGGAACUGCAGUUGAUACUGGCCGACUAGAGUAUGAAAGAGGGAGGUAGAAUUCCAUGUGUAGCGGUGAAAUGCGUAGAUAUAUGGAGGAAUACCAGUGGCGAAGGCGGCCUCCUGGUUCAAUACUGACGCUGAGGUGCGAAAGCGUGGGGAUCAAACAGG